rnacentral:misc_RNA from 1 species
UUUCCGUAGGCGAACCUGCGGAAGGAUCAUUAUCGAGUUUUGACUGGGUUGUAGCUGGCCUUCCGAGGCAUGUGCACGCCCUGCUCAUCCACUCUACACCUGUGCACUUACUGUGGGUAUCAGAUCGUGAAGCGUGCUUUUUUUACCGGAGCUUGUGAAGCGUGUCUGUGCCUGCGGUUAUCACAAACACUAUAAAGUAUCAGAACGUGUAUUACGAUGUAACGCAUCUAUAUACAACUUUCAGCAACGGAUCUCUUGGCUCUA